UCGGCUUUGUUCGCAGAGGGACCGAGCGCGGGUCCACAGGACCCGGGCCUGACCCCGCACCCCGGGACGCCCUGCACCCAAACCCCCAGAUGGAGUCUGCAAGUCGGGACCAGUGGCUGAGACAGAAUCCUGAAAUGGAGACUAACUAGUGACAUGGUUUGGGAGCGUCGUGCCAUCCUGGUGGACAGCGUGGAGCAAACCUGUGACUUCCACCCUCCUCAGCCUCCACUCCUCCCCGCCCCACCGCUUCAGGCUUCACCAGGAGGACAAGGUUGCCCUUGCUGGCCUCAGGCCUCAGCAGCCUCUUCCCCUCAAGUCCCUGUAGCCCGAGCUGCUCUCCCAGGUAGGCCUGGUGAACGUUCUCCACCAAACACACAGUGCUGUCUGUGAAUGAAAUCACAGCAAACCACCUCCACACCACGGCCUCUAGCUGGAAGGCCACAGGUCAGUGCUGGCCUCGUGUCACAUCUCCUGAGGGCCUGAGGCAUGCUGCUUGCUUGAGGCCAUGUUAAGAGUGUUGAGGCACAUCGAUGUCACAAUCAUAACAUAUGCUACAGAAUCACCUGUAAAGAUUUUUCUGAAUAAAAUAAUACCUCUGUGUUU